rnacentral:rRNA from 1 species
AACGAACGCUGGCGGCAUGCCUAACACAUGCAAGUCGAACGAGACCUUCGGGUCUAGUGGCGCACGGGUGCGUAACGCGUGGGUACCUGCCCUUAGGUUCGGAAUAACUCCCCGAAAGGGGUGCUAAUACCGGAUAAUGUCUUCGGACCAAAGAUUUAUCGCCUUUGGAUGGGCCCGCGUUGGAUUAGCUAGUUGGUAGGGUAAAAGCCUACCAAGGCGACGAUCCAUAGCUGGUCUGAGAGGAUGAUCAGCCACACUGGGACUGAGACACGGCCCAGACUCCUACGGGAGGCAGCAGUGGGGAAUAUUGGACAAUGGGCGAAAGCCUGAUCCAGUAAUGCCGCGUGAGUGAUGAAGGCCUUAGGGUUGUAAAGCUCUUUUACCCGGGAUGAUAAUGACAGUACCGGGAGAAUAAGCUCCGGCUAACUCCGUG